GCACGAAUGGCGUAACGAUGGCGGCGCUGUCUCCACCCGAGACUCAGUGAAAUUGAAAUCGCUGUGAAGAUGCAGUGUAUCCGCGGCUAGACGGAAAGACCCCGUGAACCUUUACUAUAGCUUUGCACUGGACUUUGAGCUUGCUUGUGUAGGAUAGGUGGGAGGCUUUGAAGCGUGGACGCCAGUUCGCGUGGAGCCAUCCUUGAAAUACCACCCUGGCAACCUUGAGGUUCUAACUCUGGUCCGUUAUCCGGAUCGAGGACAGUGUAUGGUGGGUAGUUUGACUGGGGCGGUCUCCUCCUAAAGAGUAACGGAGGAGUACGAAGGUGCGCUCAGACCGGUCGGAAAUCGGUCGCAGAGUAUAAAGGCAAAAGCGCGCUUGACUGCGAGACAGACACGUCGAGCAGGUACGAAAGUAGGUCUUAGUGAUCCGGUG
rnacentral:rRNA from 1 species